CAGCCGCCGCGGUAAUACGAAGGGUGCAAGCGUUAAUCGGAAUUACUGGGCGUAAAGCGUGCGUAGGCGGUGAGUUAAGUCUGCUGUGAAAUCCCCGGGCUCAACCUGGGAAUGGCAGUGGAUACUGGCUCGCUAGAGUGUGUCAGAGGAUGGUGGAAUUCCCGGUGUAGCGGUGAAAUGCGUAGAGAUCGGGAGGAUCAUCAGUGGCGAAGGCGGCCAUCUGGGACAACACUGACGCUGAGGCACGAAAGCGUGGGGAGCAAACAGGAUUAGAUACCCCGGUAGUCCCUGUCUCUUAUAC
rnacentral:rRNA from 1 species